rnacentral:rRNA from 1 species
UACGUAGGGAGCAAGCGUUAUCCGGAUUUAUUGGGUGUAAAGGGUGCGUAGACGGGAAAUUAAGUUAGUUGUGAAAUCCCUCGGCUCAACUGAGGAACUGCAACUAAAACUGAUUUUCUUGAGAAUUGGAGAGGAAAGCGGAAUUCCUAGUGUAGCGGUGAAAUGCGUAGAUAUUAGGAGGAACACCAGUGGCGAAGGCGGCUUUCUGGCCAGUAACUGACGUUGAGGCACGAAAGUGUGGGGAGCAAACA